GCUUACGGCCAUACCAGCCCAAUAACGCCCGGUCUCGUCUGAUCUCGGAAGCUAAGAAGGCUUGGGCCUGGUUAGUACUUGGAUGGGAGACUGCCUAGAAUACCAGGUGCUGUAAGCU
ensembl:rRNA 5S_rRNA 5S ribosomal RNA